CUACUACUCCCUCAAUCCCAAAAUUCUUGUCUUAGAUUUAUCUAGAUACGGAUGUAUCUAACACUAAAACGUAACUAGAUACAUCCGUAUUUAGAAAAAAUCUAAGACAAGAAUUUUGGGAGGGAGGGAGUAUUUG
rfam:Triticum aestivum genome assembly, contig: Triticum_aestivum_CS42_TGACv1_scaffold_289828_4AL